GCCACUUUAGUUUAGUGGUAAAACAGAUGCAUGGUAAGCAUCAGAGGGCAGUUCAAUCCUGCCAAGUGGCACCA
rnacentral:tRNA from 1 species